rnacentral:rRNA from 1 species
CUCCUACGGAGGCAGCAUGGGGAAUAGUUAGCACAAUGGGCGGAAGCCUGACGCAGCGACGCCGCGUGAGGGAUGACGGCUCGGUGUAACUNUUCAGCAGGGACGAAGCCGUAAGGUGACUGUACCUGCAGAAGAAGCACCGGCUAACUACGUGCCAGCCGCCGCGGUAAUUC